UGCCCCAAGUAGUCUCCCUUUCCUCUCUGCUUUCUCCAGGAAAUCUUCACUAAAGUCAGCUAAACCCACCAACAUUUGCUAUCGAUGAUUUUUUUUUUAUUUUAGCUUUUGAGGAAACUGGGAAAGAGCCCUAGGACAUGGAAGAAUUGCCGUGCUGUAAACCAGAUGCCAGAUGAGAGCAAUCAGGAGGCAGUUCAUAGAUCUUUAUUUCUUUGAAGUCAUUUGCUGGAAUAUUAAUUGUGAUUGUUUGGUGGUGCCAUGCUUCCUUGAUUUUGUGGUGGUGUUUGAAGUCUUAUGUUGCUGUCUUCACAUCUGAAGAAACAGUCACAUCCUUCAGUCUAUUUACUGACUUUGGGAAAAUAAUGCAGUAAUAUAAAUUGCAAUGUCUUCUGUGGCCAUGGAAGAUUUAACAAGCCUUCAGCUUCCUCAUUUGUAGAAUUAGACCACCAGUUAUGAUUUGGACCUGACAAGAAAUGGAAUAUGCUAACCCCAAGUGUCGCCCAGUCAUUUCCCGUGGACAUACCAGAUACUGCCAAAUUUUACCUUUUACUUAUUUGCCAUUAAUCUAUGGAUUACCUGCUUUGUGGUAGUGGUGAUGCAGUGGUGCCUAAGGAUAUGGGAUAAGUUCUGCAGAAGCAUACAGUAGGAACAGAGCAAAGAGAUAAAGAGGAUCCUACAAAUUAACCAUAGAAUAUGAGAGAAAUGCCUGAGGGUCAGAUGGCAUUAAGAAUGAGGUAUAUGGAAGAAAUGUUCACCUGGGACAGAGAGAUACUCUGAUAGGUGAAGAAAAUCAAUCACAAGCAAGCUUUUGAGUUCGGAUCCUUUUUGUAUUGCACAUGACCUGGAGUGGGUCCCAGCUUCGUCACUUCUGUGAAAGAGCCAGCAACAGAAGCAGCAGUUCAGAUCAUCUAGUGCUGGAGCUGAGGGGGACUUACAUCAUUUCAGAAUGCUUCAGGGGCACAAUUUCAGCUUAUUGCAACUUCCACCUCCUGAGUUCAAGUGAUUCUCCUGCCUCAGCCUCCUGAGUAGCUGAAAUUACAGGCACCUGCCACCACACCCAGCUAACUUUUAUAUUUUUAGUAGGGACAGGGUUUCACCAUAUUGGCCAGGCUGGAACUCUUGACCUGAGAUGAUCCACCCGGACUGGGAUAACAGGCAUGAGCCACCAUACCUGGCCUGUAAAUACUCUUGAAGAACUACAUUAAUAAGAAGAUAAAUAAAUGAUGCUAAAGAGAAAGAUGCUAUGAGAGAUAUGAGGCACAAAUGAAUCAAGUAACUUAGAAAAUAUAUUGUCUAAAAAAGAAAGAAUAAAAAAUAAAACACAAAUGAACAAAAAAAAAAAGAAAGAAAAAGAAUGUGCAUAACCUAGAACUUGCAUUUUGUAUGAUAACAUCUGGGAAUUGGGGUUGACUGGAGAAACCAAAGAAGAUGAUAAUGUGCCAAAACAUUUAUCCUGCUUGGAAACAGAGAUAGGAUGAAUGAAUGGAUGGAUGGAUGGAUAGAUAGAUAGAUAGAUAGAUAGAUAGAUAGAUUGAUACAACUAAGAAAUUAAGAUAAAUCUUAAGUAGGCACAAAUGUCAGAAUGACAAAAUGGAAUUUAUAAACU
rnacentral:lncRNA from 1 species